rnacentral:rRNA from 1 species
UACGGGAGGCAGCAGUAGGGAAUCUUCGGCAAUGGACGCAAGUCUGACCGAGCAACGCCGCGUGAGUGAAGAAGGUUUUCGGAUCGUAAAACUCUGUUGGUAGAGAAGAACGUUGGUGAGAGUGGAAAGCUCAUCAAGUGACGGUAACUACCCAGAAAGGGACGGCUAACUACGUGCCAGCAGCCGCGGUAAUACGUAGGUCCCGAGCGUUGUCCGGAUUUAUUGGGCGUAAAGCGAGCGCAGGUGGUUUAUUAAGUCUGGUGUAAAAGGCAGUGGCUCAACCAUUGUAUGCAUUGGAAACUGUUAGACUUGAGUGCAGUAGAGGAGAGUGGAAUUCCAUGUGUAGCGGUGAAAUGCGUAGAUAUAUGGAGGAACACCGGUGGCGAAAGCGGCUCUCUGGACUGUCACUGACACUGAGGCUCGAAAGCGUGGGUAGCAAACAGGAUUAGAUACCCUGGUAGUCCACGCCGUAAACGAUGAGUGCUAGUUGUUUGGGGCUAUCUAGCCCUAAGUGACGCAGCAAACGCAUUAAGCACUCCGCCUGGGGAGUACGACCGCAAGGUUGAAACUCAAAGGAAUUGACGGAAGGGC